rnacentral:rRNA from 1 species
CCUACGGGAGGCAGCAGUGGGGAAUAUUGGGCAAUGGACGCAAGUCUGACCCAGCAACGCCGCGUGAAGGAAGAAGGCUUUCGGGUUGUAAACUUCUUUUAAGGGGGAAGAGCAGAAGACGGUACCCCUUGAAUAAGCCACGGCGAACUACGUGCCAGCAGCCGCGGUAAUACGUAGGUGGCAAGCGUUGUCCGGAUGUACUGGGGGUAAAGGGCGUGCAGCCGGAGAGACAAGUCAGAUGUGAAAUCCACGGGCUCAACCCGUGCACUGCAUUUGAAACUGUUUCCCUUGAGUGUCGGAGAGGUAAUCGGAAUUCCUUGUGUAGCGGUGAAAUGCGUAGAUAUAAGGAAGAACACCAGUGGCGAAGGCGGAUGACUGGACGGCAACUGACGGUGAGGCGCGAAAGCGUGGGGAGCAAACAGGAUUAGAUACCCGAGUAGUC